rnacentral:rRNA from 1 species
GUCCACGCUGUAAACGAUGGAUACUAGGUGUAGGGGGUCAUUAACCCCCUCUGUGCCGAAGCUAACGCGUUAAGUAUCCCGCCUGGGGACUACGGCCGCAAGGUUAAAACUCAAAGGAAUUGACGGGGGCCCGCACAAGCAGCGGAGCGUGUGGUUUAAUUCGAUGAUACGCGAAGAACCUUACCUGGGUUUGACAUAUGGGUAGUAGUGAAGCGAAAGCUGAACGACCCUUCGGGGAGCCUUUACAGGUGCUGCAUGGCUGUCGU